AUGGAUAGGAGUAGGACACCGCCACAUGUUUCUCAAAUGACUACAUGUGAAGCAUCUAGUUUAGCCGCAGUACAGAAUAAUUCACCUUAUUUGGCACUUUGGCAAAGCGCGAGUCAUAUCACCAUGGUACGACUUGCUGACGAUCCUUCCGAACAAGUGGAAGAUUUCCUGUCAGGUAAUCACACUAGUGAGCGUUUUGGCGCCUGUUAUGUUGCUCCUGUAAAGAGCAUUCAGGAGACGAGGAAGAAGGACAUGAUAGUGGAUCUCAACGACAAUUUCCAUUUCAAUACUCAACAAUGCGUGGAACAUUUUUCCUCCAGUGGGAUAAGGGAAAGCAGACAAUAUAAUAUUAAACGGAAGCCUCUUAUUUGUCCAAAUGGGAAGCGUCCAAGUGAUUAUGCAUCAAAAACCAAUUUUGAUACUUCUCCCACAAGUCCGCUGAAGAAAAAAGGACGUACGAAGCUGAUCGUGGACCUUCUCAAUACAGCUGAGGCUCCUUGUAGAGCUACUACUUCAAAGAGUCGACGAGAUUUCAAGGAAAAGUGUCUGACUUACCGCACAAAAAAGGAAAAUUUCCCGAUUGCAUGCAGAUCAAACAAAAGCGCUCGGACUUCCAUUGAUGGUUGGCAGUGGCGUAACUGGUCACGGAACGCUACUAUAGCGGAGAAAGACGGUGUUAGAGGAUGGAAUGAUACAAAGAAAAUUCUGCGAGUAGAAAAAGCCAGUCCCAAAGAAUGGAGCAUUAGAAAUCACAGUCCAUGCACUGAUGCUCGAGCUUCUCGAGCAAAAGUACGAAACAUGUUGAUGAGUGAUAUACCUCCUGAGUUGGCAAACUAUAUACAGAUGAAGGCGAGGAUAAAAAAUUUGCGUGUUGAGAGGAGCAAGAUCCAUGGCUGGGGUGUUCUGACUGUAAAGGAAAUUAAUUGUGAAGAACUUAUUGUGGAGUAUAUUGGGGAAGUGAUAUACAAGUCGGUUUCAGACAAACGUGAACUUGUCUAUGAGAAGUCUGGUAUAUGCGACUACUUCUUCAAGCUUGAUGCCAAUUAUGUGAUUGAUGCUACUCACCGGGGUGGGAUCGCUCGGUACAUUAAUCAUUCUUGUGAGCCAAACUGUGAAACGAAAGUGAUCCGUGUCAAUGGAAAGAAGAAAAUAUUCAUUUUUGCAAAAAACAAGAUUAAGGCGGGUGAAGAGCUUACCUACAAUUAUAAAUUUCCUUUUGAUGAGAUCAAAAUUCCGUGUCUAUGUGGUUCAAAGAGGUGCCGUGGAUCGAUGAACUGA
rnacentral:rRNA from 1 species